UACGUAGGAGACGAGCGUUGUCCGGAAUCACUGGGCGUAAAGCGCGUGUAGGCGGAUCGGCAAGUCUGCUGUGAAAGCUCCUGGCUUAACCGGGAGUGGUCGGUGGAAACUGCCAGUCUGGAGGACGGUAGAGGUAGGUAGAAUUCCCGGUGUAGUGGUGAAAUGCGUAGAGAUCGGGAGGAAUACCUGUGGCGAAGGCGGCCUACUGGGCCGGACCUGACGCUGAGACGCGAAGGCGUGGGGAGCGAACAGGG
rnacentral:rRNA from 1 species